rnacentral:misc_RNA from 1 species
UUUUUGUUCUUAAAGUUUUCAUCGAGUCUCAUCCAAGUAUAAAAGUAGUGUUCGUCUCUCUCAUCCUCCAUUUUCUUCAUCGCAUUCACCAGUGGUAUCAUGUCUCAUAGGAAAUUCAGUGCUCCUCGGCAUGGUUCGAUGGGGUUCUACCCAAAGAAAAGAUCUCAAAGGCAUCGUGGAAAGGUAAAGGCUUUUCCAAAAGAUGAUCCCAGCAAACCUGUGCAUUUAACAGCUUUUAUUGGUUACAAAGCUGGUAUGACUCAUGUUGUGAGGGAAGCAGAUCGUCCUGGAUCAAAGGUAAAUAAGAAGGAGAUUGUAGAAGCAGUUACUAUCCUUGAGACACCACCAAUAAUUGUGGUUGGUCUUGUUGGAUAUAUUGAAACGCCACAUGGACUUAGAGCACUUGCUACUGUUUGGGCAGAACAUUUGUCAGAGGAUUGUCGCAGACGGUUUUACAAGAACUGGUACAAGAGCAAGAAGAAGGCAUUUACAAAAGCAUCGAAGAAAUGGCAAGACGAGCUUGGCCGCAAAUCUAUUGAGGCAGAUUUAAAAAAAAUCAAGAAGUAUUGCAGUGUCAUUCGCAUUAUCGCUCAUACUCAGUGCGAGAGCUGCCUUUAAUGCAGUAUGGUCUCAACACUGCCGUGUCGAAGAAUAACAUUGUGCGCUGCUCAUGCAGAAUGCAUAAAAGCAAGAUGAAGUUAUUGAGGCAGCGUCAGAAGAAAGCUCACAUUAUGGAGAUCCAAUUGAAUGGAGGUACUGUUGAAGACAAAGUGCAGUGGGCACGCGAACAUCUGGAGAAACCCGUGCCUAUUAGUAAUGUGUUCGCAGCU